rnacentral:other from 1 species
UUCUGAGGUGUUCGCCAGCGAGUCUGAUUCCCCUGAGCCGAUAUCAACACUUUAGGAUUGCGUUCUGCAUAUUUAGAGUGUAUGCCCACCUUGUAGUGGGAAACCCAGCAAGUAUGCGUCGUGUCCGCCUUGAACUUUAGGGUUCAAGGGUAAAGACAUGCAGCGGCAUCUCGGAGCC